GUCCAUGUAAAAUCUGUCAAACGAAAGCACAGUUUUCGCUGAAAACUACUUGAAAACUUACAUUUCACUCAUUAUAAUCGCUGCCUGCUCUAGUUUAAUCAAUGUUUUUGGAAGACAUAUUUUGCCGGCCCUAAAUUGUCACUUGAUAUUUGUUUACCUUCCAUAUACAAAAACAGCUGUCGCUUGAUAUUCUCAUAUUAGGGGGAUUCUCUUGCUCUUGCAAAACCUUGCGCGGUGCAGAAAUUACAGAAUUUUCCUCUUGGUGCAACGGCACAACAACAAACACAAGCAGAAAAUUAUUUGCAAUGGCUAUAAAUAUGUCAGACCAAACCCCACGUUUAUUUUCGUGCCGUCAUAUAUCACUAGAUUCUGCAAUGGGUGCUCUCUUAGCCUUGCAUAUUUCGGUAUAGGAUUUUUGCAUUUUGUAUCAUCGUGCAAUCUUGCAAGAGCAAGAGAAUGCCGCUAAUGAUAGUUGUCAGUGAAAACUCAUCGAAAACACACAUUGUUGGUUCGAACGACUUAGAUUCCACAACAUACAAAUGUGUUUUUAAAAUGUUUUCAAUGCCGGUCCGAACAUAGUAUUAGAGAAAAUUUUUGAGACUUGAGACAAAGAACGUAUAAUAUAGAGAAGGUUCACCGCGUUGCCAAAUUUGAGAUAUUUAAUUUUUUGGAGGGGUACUCUUUUCUAUUAGUGGAUUUCACCAAUAAUUUAACAGGAGGGUCGAAAAUAGCAGAAUUGAGCAUUUUCAGUGUUAAAUGAGAAAAGUGAUGCUAAUUUCAAUAUACGCCUACAUAUUUGCACUUUUACAAUGCGCAAACGACUAUGGAUAUCUUUUAUAGAUAUUCUCCAUAUAUUUGGUAUCAAUGCACAUAUUGGCAUGAAUGAAACACGAAAUAAAAUGGAACAUAAGUGAAGCAAAAUUUUAAUGUUGGUUAAAACUGGUGUAGAUCUGACCGCAGAACCUGAAAAUGUUGAACAUAUGUAUGUAAUACUAUGUAUGUAAUUUGAAGUAAUGAAGCGUAAUCAAUAAGGCUCUCAAUUUCGAAUUUUUUGAUGAUACGUUAUUUUGCAUUUCAGGUGACGAUAUGAAAGCAAAUUUAACAAUAACUUUUUAAAUUUGUUAAUUUAGAACUAUUCUUUAUUGGCGAAGACAACAGCGCGCCAGUCGUUUAUUUUUUUCGCUAUUUGGCGCCAGUUGGAUAUUCCAAGCGAAGCCAGGUCCUUCUCCACCAGUCACAAACACGUCAAGCUGUUUGACAGAUCAGUUUUUCAUUUCUAUGAAAAUUUCGAAGAGGCAACACAUCCCAUUUACACAUAUACCGGCGGCAGUUUCAUUUCGGUAAUAUUAAAUUUAGUAGACCGAGUAUUAAGAUAGUUGUGUUAAAUUAUAAAAAUAAAGUACAAAAUAAUAAAUACAUUUUUCCAAAAAAUUUAUAUUUAGCCCAAUAUUGUUAAUUUGCGGAAAAGUUAUAGAAAAUGGAUUGGCGAAUGAGCGAAGUCUUAAAUUUAAUAAACUUAUACAAGCAUAAAUCAAGCAUAUUAUUGCUCAUAUUAAAUGUAUUAUUUUAAUUGGUAUAUAAAAUUUAUGUUAUAUUUAUUAUAGUCCGAAAUAUAAAAACUUUGUUUACAAGAAAUGCAUUUGUAGGAAAAAGUAUA